UACGUAGGGUGCAAGCGUUGUCCGGAAUUAUUGGGCGUAAAGAGCUCGUAGGCGGUUUGUCGCGUCUGCUGUGAAAACUGGAGGCUCAACCUCCAGCCUGCAGUGGGUACGGGCAGACUAGAGUGCGGUAGGGGAGAUUGGAAUUCCUGGUGUAGCGGUGGAAUGCGCAGAUAUCAGGAGGAACACCGAUGACGAAGGCAGAUCUCUGGGCCGUAACUGACGCUGAGGAGCGAAAGCAUGGGGAGCGAACAGGAUAGAA
rnacentral:rRNA from 1 species